rnacentral:lncRNA from 1 species
GAGGAGGAGGAGCAGAGGCGGAAGGAGGAGGAGGAGGAGGCCCGGCUGGCCAGCAUGCCCGCCUGGAGGCGGGACCUCCUGCGGAAGAAGCUGGAAGAAGAGAGGUGAGCUGGGGGAAAGAGGAGGAGCGACAGAAGCAGGAGGAGCUGCGGCGGGAGAAGGAACAGUCAGAGAAGCUGCGGACGCUGGGCUACGAUGAGAGCAAGCUGGCGCCCUGGCAGCGACAGGUCAUCCUGAAGAAGGGGGACAUCGCUAAGUACUAGAGGCCGCAGACUCCUGUCCGCAGCCUCGCAGCUCCGUGGGGCCCUCCGCCCCAGCCCCAGCCAGCCAGGCCCUGGUGGAAAGGCUGGGAGCCGCACAGCCCUCCCCUCCUGCGCUGGAAACCCUCCCUGACCCCCACCCUGGCCCCCCGUAUCCCCAGCCCUUGGCAACACUGGAGUGCACACGCCGCCACGGUUGCCCAGAAAAAGUGCCCAAGCUGCUGACGCAAACAACAACAAAUGCUGCUUAUUUGCAUGCCGACUUACAUAUAUUUGCAUGUUCGUUGACUAUCAAAGAGUGCAGAGCUCUC